rnacentral:rRNA from 1 species
AGAACGAACGCUGGCGGCAGGCCUAACACAUGCAAGUCGAACGCCCUCUUCGGAGGGAGUGGCAGACGGGUGAGUAACGCGUGGGAACGUACCCUUUGGUUCGGAACAACUCCGGGAAACUGGAGCUAAUACCGGAUGAGCCCUACGGGGGAAAGAUUUAUCGCCGAAGGAUCGGCCCGCGUCGGAUUAGCUUGUUGGUGGGUAAUGGCCCACCAAGGCGACGAUCCGUAGCUGGUCUGAGAGGAUGAUCAGCCACACUGGGACUGAGACACGGCCCAGACUCCUACGGGAGGCAGCAGUGGGGAAUAUUGGACAAUGGCGCAAGCCUGAUCCAGCCAUGCCGCGUGAGUGAUGAAGGCCCUAGGGUUGUAAAGCUCUUUCGCCAGGGACGAUAAUGACGGUACCUGGAUAAGAAGCCCCGGCUAACUUCGUGCCAGCAGCCGC